rnacentral:rRNA from 1 species
UACGUAGGGAGCAAGCGUUGUCCGGAAUCAUUGGGCGUAAAGCGCGCGUAGGUGGCUAUGUAAGUCCGUUGUGAAAGUCAAAGGCUCAACCUGGAAGGGUCAUUCGAUACUGCCGUGACUAGAGGUCGGUAGGGGAGUGUGGAAUUCCUGGUGGAGCGGUGAAAUGCGCAGAUAUCAGGAGGAACACCCGUAGCGAAGGCGGCACUCUGGGCCGAUACUGACACUGAGGAGCGAAAGCGUGGGGAGCGAACAGG